rnacentral:misc_RNA from 1 species
UCUCCGUAGGUGAACCUGCGGAGGGAUCAUUACUGAGUUCAUGCCCUACCGGGUAGAUCUCCCACCCUAUGUUAUUAUUACUUUGUUGCUUUGGCGGGCCGUUAGGCUCCGGCCCGACUACCGGCCCCGGCUGGUAAGCGCCCGCCAGAGGACCCAAAACCCUGAAUAUUAGUGUCGUCUGAGUACUAUAUAAUAGUUAAAACUUUCAACAACGGAUCUCUUGGUUCUG